rnacentral:sRNA from 1 species
AUUAAUUUUAUUUAUGAUAUGACUUUGAUUUAUAAUCUAAACAUUUUAGCUAAUAACAUAGGAGUGCACUAUAUUUAUUUAAUAGGGGAAUGUACCAUAUGAUCCGAAUGCACUUUUACCCAAAUCCACCAAAAAAGUCUUGCAAAAAUACUAUAGAGAUAAGAAACGAUAGUCGGUUUUGAUAGGUAUAAGAUUAACAAAUAUAUUAGUUAGCUUAAAUUAGUUAAAAAAUACAAAUUGAAAAGGUAUAUUACACUUUAUUUGAAUAUA